UGGGGAAUUUUGGACAAUGGGCGAAAGCCAGAUCCAGCCAUGCCGCGUGAGUGAAGAAGGCCUUCGGGUUGUAAAGCUCUUUUAGUCGGAAAGAAAGAGUUGCAAUGAAUAAUUGUGAUUUAUGACGGUACCGACAGAAAAAGCACCGGCUAACUACGUGCCAGCAGCCGCGGUAAUACGUAGGGUGCGAGCGUUAAUCGGAAUUACUGGGCGUAAAGGGUGCGCAGGCGGUCUUGCAAGUCAGAUGUGAAAGCCCCGGGCUUAACCUGGGAAUUGCGUUUGAAACUACAAGGCUAGAGUGCAGCAGAGGGGAGUGGAAUUCCAUGUGUAGCAGUGAAAUGCGUAGAGAUGUGGAAGAACACCGAUGGCGAAGGCAGCUCCCUGGGUUGACACUGACGCUCAUGCACGAAAGCGUGGGGAGCAAACA
rnacentral:rRNA from 1 species